GUGCCAGCCGCCGCGGUAAUACAGAGGUCCCAAGCGUUGUUCGGAUUCACUGGGCGUAAAGGGUGCGUAGGUGGUUGGGUAAGUCUGAUGUGAAAGCUCGAAGCUCAACUUCGAAAUGGCAUUGGAUACUAUCUGGCUGGAGGGUCGGAGGGGGGACUGGAAUUCUCGGUGUAGCAGUGAAAUGCGUAGAUAUCGAGAGGAACACCAGUGGCGAAGGCGAGUCCCUGGACGACUCCUGACACUGAGGCACGAAAGCUAGGGGAGCAAACAGGAUUAGAUACCCUGGUAGUCCUAGCUGUAAACGGUGCAUAUUUGCUGUAAAAGGAAUCGACCCCUUUUGUGGCGUAGCUAACGCGUUAAAUAUGCCGCCUGGGAAGUACGGUCGCAAGAUUAAA
rnacentral:rRNA from 1 species